rnacentral:rRNA from 1 species
GACGGAGGAUGCAAGCGUUAUCCGGAAUUAUUGGGCGUAAAGCGUCCGCAGGUGGCCUAUCAAGUCUGCUGUCAAAGACCGGGGCUUAACCCCAGAAAGGCAGUGGAAACUGAAAGGCUAGAGGAUGGUAGGGGCAGAGGGAAUUCCCAGUGUAGUGGUGAAAUGCGUAGAGAUUGGGAAGAACACCAGUGGCGAAGGCGGCUAUCUGGACGGUUUCUGACACUAAGACGCGAAAGCGUGGGGAGCAAACAGG